rnacentral:rRNA from 1 species
UACGUAGGUGGCAAGCGUUGUCCGGAUUUAUUGGGCGUAAAGCGAGCGCAGGCGGUUCCUUAAGUCUGAUGUGAAAGCCCACGGCUCAACCGUGGAGGGUCAUUGGAAACUGGUCGACUUGAGUGCAGAAGAGGGAAGUGGAAUUCCAUGUGUAGCGGUGAAAUGCGUAGAGAUAUGGAGGAACACCAGUGGCGAAGGCGGCUUCCUGGUCUGUAACUGACACUGAGGCGCGAAAGCGUGGGGAGCAAACAGGAUUAGAUA